rnacentral:rRNA from 1 species
GAUCAUGGCUCAGGGAUGAACGCUAGCUACAGGCUAACACAUGCAAGUCGAGGGGUAGCAGGGUAGCAAUACCGCUGACGACCGGCGCACGGGUGAGUAACACGUAUCCAACCUUCCCAUAACUCAGGGAUAGCCUUUCGAAAGAAAGAUUAAUACCUGAUAGUACUUUUCAAGGCAUCUUGAGAAGUUAAAGAUUUAUGGUUAUGGAUGGGGAUGCGUUCCAUUAGAUAGUUGGUGAGGUAACGGCUCACCAAGUCUUCGAUGGAUAGGGGUUCUGAGAGGAAGGUCCCCCACAUUGGUACUGAGACACGGACCAAACUCCUACGGGAGGCAGCAGUGAGGAAUAUUGGUCAAUGGGCGAGAGCCUGAACCAGCCAAGUAGCGUGAAGGAUGAAGGUCCUAUGGAUUGUAAACUUCUUUUAUAGUAGAAUAAAGUGAUCCACGUGUGGAUUUUUGUAUGUAUACUAUGAAUAAGGAUCGGCUAACUCCGUGCCAGCAGCAGC